rnacentral:rRNA from 1 species
UACAGAGGUCUCAAGCGUUGUUCGGAUUCAUUGGGCGUAAAGGGUGCGUAGGCGGCUCGGUAAGUCGGGGGUGAAAUCUUGGAGCUUAACUCCGAAACUGCAUUCGAUACUGCCGUGCUUGAGGACUGGAGAGGAGACUGGAAUUUACGGUGUAGCGGUGAAGUGCGUAGAUAUCGUAAGGAAGACCAGUGGCGAAGGCGGGUCUCUGGACAGUUCCUGACGCUCAUGCACGAAAGCGUGGGGAGCAAACAGG